rnacentral:rRNA from 1 species
CCGGAGUGGCGAACGGGUGAGUAAAGCGUCGGAACGUACCGAGUAAUGGGGGAUAACUGUCCGAAAGGAACAGCUAAUACCGCAUACGCUCUGAGGAGGAAAGCGGGGGACCGUUCGGGCCUCGCGUUAUUCGAGCGGCCGACGUCUGAUUAGCUAGUUGGUGAGGUAAAGGCUCACCAAGGCGACGAUCAGUAGCGGGUCUGAGAGGAUGAUCCGCCACACUGGGACUGAGACACGGCCCAG